AGAGAAGAACCAGAUUGAAGAGCUGCUGGAUUCAUUGUUUCCUCCAAAUGAAAGAAAAGUCAUUUUCAUGUGACAGAGCGACGAUGCAGUGGAGUCUGUUUCUGCUUCUUCUGAUGGGUCAGUGUGUCUUCAUCACAUGUCACCUGUAUGAGUACCACUUUAUUAAAGAAGAGAUGAGCUGGGAUGAAGCACGGGCAUACUGCAGAGAGAACUACACAGACCUGGCCAAAGUGUUUGACCUGACAGACAUGACAAGACUUCAAGACUCUGCACAGAAUCAAACAGAAGCCUGGAUUGGACUGUACAACAUCACAGGAGGAGCCAACAGGAGGUGGCACUGGUCUCUGCCGGGGGAGGAAUACACUGAAAAUAAGACCUGUUGGGGAGCUGGAGAGCCUAAUGAUCAACCAUAUCCUGAGAAC